rnacentral:rRNA from 1 species
UUAACAAAAACAUGUCUUUUUGUAGUUUAUUUAAAGUCUGAUCUGCCCACUGAUUAUUUUAAAUGGCCGCGGUAUUUUGACCGUGCAAAGGUAGCAUAAUAAUUAGUUUUUUAAUUGGAAGCUGGAAUGAAUGAUUUGAUGAGAAAAUAGCUGUCUCAGUUUUAGUAGAAUAGAAUUUUACUUUUAAGUUAAAAGGCUUAAAUUUAAGUUGAAGACGAGAAGACCCUAUAGAGUUUUAUAUUUAAGUUUAUAUGUUUAAGUGGAUUUUAUUUUGUUUAUAAGUAAAAGUAUUUUGUUGGGGUGACAGGAAAAUUAGUUAAACUUUUUUUAUUUAAAAUCAUUGAUUUAUGAAUAAUUGAUCCAUAAAUUUGAUUAUAAGAAUAAAUUACCUUAGGGAUAACAGCGUAAUCUUUUUAAAGAGUUCUUAUCGAAAUAAGGGAUUGCGACCUCGAUGUUGGAUUAAAGUAGAUUAUUGGCGGAGAAGCUAAUAUAUUAGGUCUGUUCGACCUUUAAAACUUUACAUGAUCUGAGUU